rnacentral:lncRNA from 1 species
CACCUCCUCCACCUCCACCUCCACCUCCACCCACAUCAUCCAGUGUACUAAAUGUUGGUAGGGUCUUCUUGCCACCCCCACCACCACCCCUUUGGUCAAGUGGAAGGUAUGGAACUUCCUCAGAAGUAGUAUCUAGUUCAUUCCCGCCUCCACCUCCACCUCCACCUCCUCCACCUCCUCCACCUCCUCCACCUCCACCUAUAUAUGCAUCUACUGUACCAAAAUUGGCUGCUUUUGGGGUUUCCACACCAUCACCACCACCUCCUCCCCCUCCACCUCCACCUCCUAUGUGUGCUGCCUAUUCUCCUCCUCCUCCUCCGCCUCCACCACCACCUCCUCCUUUACUUGGCUCUUCAGCACCACCUCCCCC